AGCGAACGCUGGCGGCAGGCUUAACACAUGCAAGUCGAGCGGGCACUUUCGGGUGUCAGCGGCGGACGGGUGAGUAACGCGUGGGAACGUGCCCUCUGGUUCGGAAUAACUCAGGGAAACUUGAGCUAAUACCGGAUACGCCCUUUUGGGGAAAGGCUUGCUGCCGGAGGAUCGGCCCGCGUCUGAUUAGCUAGUUGGUGAGGUAACGGCUCACCAAGGCGACGAUCAGUAGCUGGUCUGAGAGGAUGAUCAGCCACACUGGGACUGAGACACGGCCCAGACUCCUACGGGAGGCAGCAGUGGGGAAUAUUGGACAAUGGGCGCAAGCCUGAUCCAGCCAUGCCGCGUGAGUGAUGAAGGCCUUAGGGUUGUAAAGCUCUUUUAUCCGGGACGAUAAUGACGGUACCGGAGGAAUAAGCCCCGGCUAACUUUGUG
rnacentral:rRNA from 1 species